GGUUAUUUACAUUAGUCAUUUCUUGGCAUAAAAUGUGAUGGCAGGGCUACACCAAUUUAGUGUGGUCACACAUCUGCUGAUGGGAGAAACAGUUCAUGAACAGAGCAACAGCUGGCACUGAAUCACCACCAUGUCAGCUGGAGAUGCCAAUACAACAAAGAGCUGAGAUUACAAAUUCAGUGCAGCAUGUAAUAAAAACGCAAACCAAAAAUGUAGGCAAUUUUUUUUUGUUUUACUUUGAGUAUUUUUUUUUAAACCACAAG